UGAAUCCUACGGGAGGCAGCAGUGAGGAAUAUUGGUCAAUGGUCGGGAGACUGAACCAGCCAAGCCGCGUGAGGGAUGAAGGUACAGAGUAUCGUAAACCUCUUUUGUCAGGGAACAAAGGCGGGGACGUGUCCCCGGAUGAGUGUACCUGGAGAAAAAGCAUCGGCUAACUCCGUGCCAGCAGCCGCGGUAAUACGGAGGAUGCGAGCGUUAUCCGGAUUUAUUGGGUUUAAAGGGUGCGCAUGCGGGCUGUUAAGUCAGCGGUCAAAGCCCGGGGCUCAAACCCGGCCCGCC
rnacentral:rRNA from 1 species